ensembl:lncRNA
GGCAAGGCGAGACGUGGUAGGCAUGGCGGGGUGGGGUGAGACGGGGCGAUGUUGGACGAGGCGGACAGAGUGGAGCGAGGCGGGGAAACCUAGGCGUGGCGGGGUGGAAGCAAGCAAGGCGGGGCGAGGCAAGGCGAGAUGAGGUGUUGUGCGGGGAAGUGAGGCGGGGCAAGGCGAGGCGGGGCGAGGCGGAGCAAGGCAGGGCGGGGAGAGGCAUGGCAGGGUGAGGCAGGGCGAGGCAAGGCGAGGCAAGGCGAUGCAGUGCGGAGCAAAGCAGGGCAAGGCGAAGCGAGGCGGGGCAGGGCGAGACGAGGCGGGGCGAGGUGGGGCAGGGCGAGACGAGGCGGGGCUAGGCGGGGUGGGGCUAUGUGUUGCGAGGUGGGAGAGGCGGGGCGAGGUGGAGUGAGGUGGGGUGAGGUGGGGCGAAACGAGGCGUGGCAGGUGAGGUGGGGCCAGGCAGGGUGAGGCUAGGUGGGGUGGGGCGAGGCAGGGCAAGGUGGGGCAAGGCAGGGAGGGGUGAGGCGAGGCGGGGUGGUUCAAGGUGUGGCAGGGCAAGUAGGGGCGAGGCGUGGCAGGCGAGGCGGGGC